rnacentral:rRNA from 1 species
AUUGAACGCUGGCGGCAGGCUUAACACAUGCAAGUCGAGCGGAGCGAGGGUGCUUGCACCUUAGCUUAGCGGCGGACGGGUGAGUAAUGCUUAGGAAUCUGCCUAUUAGUGGGGGACAACAUUCCGAAAGGGAUGCUAAUACCGCAUACGCCCUACGGGGGAAAGCAGGGGAUCGUCGGAACUUGAGCUAAUAGAUGAGCCUAAGUCGGAUUAGCUAGUUGGUGGGGUAAAGGCCUACCAAGGCGACGAUCUGUAGCGGGUCUGAGAGGAUGAUCCGCCACACUGGGACUGAGACACGGCCCAGACUCCUACGGGAGGCAGCAGUGGGGAAUAUUGGACAAUGGGCGGAAGCCUGAUCCAGCCAUGCCGCGUGUGUGAAGAAGGCCUUUUGGUUGUAAAGCACUUUAAGCGAGGAGGAGGCUACUAGUAUUAAUACUACUGGAUAGUGGACGUUACUCGCAGAAUAAGCACCGGCUAACUCUGUGCCAGCCGCCGCCGUAA